rnacentral:Y_RNA from 1 species
GGCUGAUCCGAAGGUAGUGGGUUAUUUCAAUUUCAGUUGAUUCUUCACAGUCAGUUACAGAUUGAUUUCUUUGUUCUUUCUUUCCUCCCUUCCCACUACUGCACUUGACUAGUAAUAA